GUUUCAUCGUUUUCAAGUGUGAAUAUCCUACAAUUUGAAGCUGAGUUCUGGUAUGUUUCAUAUUCCCAAAGAAUUUGCAAUGACACAUUUCAUGUUGAAAGGGCAGAUUUAAAAGAAAAACUGCUUAUGAUCUGAAUUUUUAAUACCUGAAAUCUUUGUGGAUUAUAACUCUGAAUUUAAAACUUUUCUCUUUAAUCUGCAUCAUACCUUAGGGCAUUGUGGUGAAUGAACUGAGAGAGGCAGAAUGCUUACCAGCCUCUGAAAAUAGAAAAUGUGAGCGGUACUCUCAGGUGGUACACUAAGGCUCUAGGUCUAUAGCAAUGUUGGAUCCUUCCUUAAUCAAAUAGGAAUCCAAGAAUAUUUCUCAUACCCUUCUUUAUUGCCUCUCUCCCU
rnacentral:lncRNA from 1 species